UUACAGAUGCUGGAUGAAAACCUCGUGCAUGUCGGAAAGAAAUACUGUGACCGGAGACAUCCCUCUGCCUGCUGCUGAGUCGUAAAUUAUGGACGGCUCAUCGAGAGUGAUGCUGGAUGAAAACCUCAUGCAUGUCGGAAAGAAAUACUGUGACCGGAGACAUCCCUCUGCCUGCUGCUGAGUCGUAAAUUAUGGACGGCUCAUCGAGAGUGGGAACGCAUUCCAGAGCCCGGGAGCAGCUACAGAGAAGGCCAGAUGCCAGGCAAGCUGAAGGCAGCCAGAGACGGACCUCUCCCAAUUACUUUAAUGUGUGGUGGGGAUCAUACUGAAGAAGGUGCUCUCCCAGAACUUGCAGCUGGUCUUUGACCUUUGAGAAGUUCCCCAUCGGGACCUGGGCACCUGUCAUGGGCGGUCUCUCUUUUCUGAGCUCUUCCAGGGACUCCUUGAUGAAGGGAUGCAUGUCCAUCACCUCUUGG